GGAAUAUCCUCUGCAAAGGUAAAUUGGGAAAAGAGUUGUGCUUUACAGAUUGGAGAAUGGUCUGGAGGGAUCAUGGCUUUGCCAGAGGGGCUGGAAUGGUGUAAGGGAGGUUUUAAGUAUCUUGGAGUGUACCUAGGAGAUGAGGGGACUAUGGAAAAAAAUUGGAUUGGGGUGAUUGAAAUGGUGGAAGGGAGGAUGAGGAGAUGGCGUUGGUUGCUAUCUCGUAUGUCAUAUAGGGGGCGCACUAUUAUAGUUAACAAUGUGAUUGCCUCUGCACUGUGGCAUCGGUUGUCAGUUUUAGAACCACCAUCUGGCCUUCUGGCUAAGAUACAGGCAAUAAUUGUGGAUUUCUUUUGGGAUAAAUAUCACUUGGUUCCACAAAGUGUUUUGUAUUUGUCAAAAGAGGAGGGGGGACAAGGUCUUGUACAUCUUGCUAGUAGGGCUGCUGCUUUCCGGUUUCAGUUUAUUCAAAGGUUGCUUUAUGGACCGGAAAAUGUGGUUUGGAGAGGGGUGGCAGGUCUUGUAUUACAGCAGGUUGGAGGAUUAGGUUUAAAGAAAGCUUUAUUUUUGGUUGAGAGUAGCCAGAUUUCCAGGGAGGGAAUACCUCCGUUUUACAGAGGCCUUCUUAGGGUGUGGAGCAUAAUGAAGGUGUCCAGACGAACUUCAGCGGAGUCAGUGCAUUGGCUGUUGGAGGAACCUCUGGUGUAUGGGGCAAGACUGGAUUGUACAACUGCAACUGUUCCACAUUUUUCCAAGAUUCUGGUGAAGGGCAAAAUCAUUACCUUAAAACAGUUAAUGGCCAUGGCUGGGCCCACAUUAAUGGAUGGAAGACGGGUGGCUGAACAUUUGGGGGUGAGGUCGGAAAGGAUUGUCGGACAACUGCUGGGAAGCUGCAGGAAGGCUCUGUCAGCAGAAGAGUGGGGUAUGCUUCAUAGCCACAAGAAGGUACAAGAUGAAGACGUCUCAUUUCCAAGACUAGGGAUUACACCAAAUAUCCCAGAGUCAGAAAGAAAGGCGUUAUUACUGGAUUUGAGAGGGUUGGAAGAGGUGGGUUUGGAUGAGGUGAAUGGGAAAGACUUAUAUAGGGGGUGUGUCAAGGUGUUGAAUAAAGAUAAAUUGAAAAAUAGAAAAGACAAAUUGGGCAUUGAUGACAAGGUAAAGCCAGCAUGGAGAGCACUGUACAAGCCACCGUUACAAAAGGGUACUGGUGAUAUGCAAUGGAGGGUUUUGCAUGGCAUCAUUGCAGUUAAUGCUUUUGUAUCUGUUAUUAACUCAGAUGUUGGAGAUGGAUGUCCUUUUUGUAAUAUAAGAGAAACCAUUUUUCACUGUUUUAUGGAGUGUGAGAGGAUAAAACCUCUCUUGGAAAUGCUGAAGUCUUUGUUUAAAGCUGUAGGGGAGAUUUUCAAUAACACUGUUUUUAUUUUGGGGUUUCAAUAUAGUAAGCAACAGAAAAGAAAAUGUCAACUGUUCAAUUUUAUUUUGGGACAAGCUAAGAUGUCCAUUUUUCUGAGUAGGAAACAUAAGAUAGAAACGGGAUAUGGGCAGGAUGUAAGAUGUGUUUUUAAAGGAUUAGUGAAAGUAAGAAUAAAAGUGGAUUUUGAGUUCUUCUCAGCUGUAAAAGAUCUCCCAUUGUUUGAGGAGAAGUGGG
ensembl:lncRNA